UACGUAGGGUGCGAGCGUUGUCCGGAAUUAUUGGGCGUAAAGAGCUCGUAGGCGGUCUGUCGCGUCGAUCGUGAAAACUUGGGGCUUAACCCUGAGCUUGCGGUCGAUACGGGCAUGACUGGAGUUCGGCAGGGGAGACUGGAAUUCCUGGUGUAGCGGUGAAAUGCGCAGAUAUCAGGAGGAACACCGGUGGCGAAGGCGGGUCUCUGGGCCGAUACUGACGCUGAUGCGCGAAAGCCAGGGGAGCGAACGGG
rnacentral:rRNA from 1 species